rnacentral:rRNA from 1 species
GUAGUCCCAGCUGUAAACGAUGCAGACUCGGUGAUGGGCUGGCCUUGUGCCAACCCAGUGCCGCAGGGAAGCCGUUAAGUCUGCCGCCUGGGGAGUACGGUCGCAAGACUAAAACAUAAAGGAAUUGACGGGGGCCCGCACAAGCAGCGGAGCGUGCGGUUUAAUUCGUCGCAACGCGAAGAACCUUACCAAGGCUUGACAUGGUAGUGGUACCAAUUCGAAAGAUGCGGGACCCUUCGGGGAGCUAUCACAGGUGCUGCAUGGCUGUCGUCAGCUCGUGCCGUGAGGUGUUGGGUUAAG